AUGAUCAAAUUGAAGCUGCCAUACUUUGGCCACAUUAUGAGAAAACAUGAUUCAUUAGAAAAGACAAUGGUGCUAGGAAAGGUUGAAGGUAGUAGAAAGGGAGGAAGACAGCACACCAGCUGGAUAGACUAAUUCAGGGAGGUCAUGGACCUGAAUUUACAGGACCUAACCAGAGCAGUGGAGGACAAGGGUGUCUUGGAGAUGUCUCAUCAACAGAGUUGCCAUGAGUCAGGGUUGGUUAGAUGGCAGUUAAUAACAACAGCAGCUCUUAACAACCAUACAGAUAAAUAAAGGAGAAGAGAUGCUUCUUAAAAUACAAAGGAUCCUGAGUCAUUUAGGGUUUUGAAAGUCAUCAGCACCUUGAACUUUCCUUGGCCAAAAAUGUAUAGGCAACUUGUUUAAUACCCUUAGAACCAGCAUCAUGGUUCUUAUAAGGUAUUCUUGCCAGCAAUUUAGCUGCAGCUUCUGACACUCGUAGGAUAUGUUCAGUCUUCAAGAAAAGCCUUACAUUGACCACUCUGCAGUAGUCUAAAUUUGGAAGUUACCAGCACAUAAAGUGCCAUAGUCACACUGUUUCUAUUCAAGAACAGUCAUGGCUCAAGCUGUAGAGUGGAAGUUGAAGCUGCCCAGAUGCUCUGAGCAUCAAGUUUUUGUUGAACCAAAAGUGAUAGAGGUGAAUCCAAGAAUGAUCCCAAGCAAUCUGCUCCUUUAGAAUUACAACCCCACCUAAAACUAGUCACUUACACAAUCCUUGGACAUGGAAACCACUAAAGCUCAGAGACUGCACCUUGUCAGAUACUGGCUUUAAUUUUUCCAUUGUAAUGGCACCACACCAAACCAGCACCAGUGCAUCUUAGCCUGAUUACAAGGAGAAAUAGAGCUGACUUUCAUCAGCAUACAGAUGGCAUCUAACUGAAACACCUAAUGAUUUAAAAUGGCAUGCAUGAAUAUUUCUAGUUGGAUAUUUAAGGUACAUUCUUACACAUGCUUCUUGGACAGUUGGCACCAUGGAACAGUAUUGGAACUGUGUCAAGAGUGACUUUGUGCUUUCUGAAAUUCCCACAAAGCAAAUUCACACACAAGAUCUUAAAAUAUGCUCAGUUUAGCCAUUUCACUUUAUUUAUUCUCAUACUGGACUAUAUCCAGUUUUUUUAGUGAAUUUCCACUUGCACAACAGCACUUCCCUCAUCUGUUCCUGAGAGCUCCUCCCUCCAGGAAGUAUGGGGUGGGACUUCAUAGAAGGAAGAGCGAACACUGGCUGAUGGAAAUUUUCUGUCAAUAUUGAUUGGAUUUUACUCUUUAACGUUUUCUUUUGUAUCACUAGAAAAAUUAACUUGCGGCCAUUCUUUCUGUUGGACCUCCUCAUGAUAUAUAUCCAUAUGGAUAGAUGCAGCAAGUGAAAAAGCUGUGGAAGUAAUGACCCCUUCUUGUCUCUUUCUAUUUCAUGGGAACUAGCAUAGAUACCUUGUCUGUUACUAUGAUAAGUCUAGUUUUUCCAGAGCAAGCCUUCCCACAUGUUAGGCAAAAAUCUGUUGUCUCAGAUGAGAAUCCUCACUGAUCAUGGAUACCCAAUGUGACUCCCCAAUCACUUGUUGUAAAUGCUUACUGUGUGUGUAUGUGCUUUCAGGUCCCCUGGUGACUAAUGAUGACACUAUGAAUUUCAUAGGGUUUUCUUAACCAAGGAAUACUUUGGUGAUUUUGCCAGUUCCUUCCUCUGAAAUAUAGCCUACAGAAGCUGGUAUUCAUUGGCAGUCUCUCAUCCAAGUACUAACCACAACUUGGCCCUGCUUAGCUUCCAGGAUAAGAUGGGAUCUGGUACCUACUACCCAUAGUUAAAUAAAUUAUAUAUAGAAGCAGUAUUGUAAUAGUAAAAUCAGCUGCUUCUUCCCAACUUGCAUCUGAAGAUCUUUUCCUGAAAAGGGGCAUUUUCAAACUUGUGAUAUUUCACGUGUCACUGUGUAAAAGCCCUGAGAAGAUUAAAAUAAGUUUAAAAUUGCAUAAAAUCAAUGGCGUUCCUAGGGUUGGUGUCACCCCACCCCUCCUUAUUGACCUUCUACUCCCAUUUCACACCAUAUAGAAUCCUUACUUUAAAAAAAAAUUGCACUAAUGAUGCUUGUAAAUCAUAAUUCCCAUAUACCAUUGGAUGUAAUGCUAAUAGUUCUGACGUAAACAACUAACAAAAUUAAAAAUUAUAUCUUCUCAUUACAAUAUGAUGUGCAUAACCUAAAUAUAUUUACAUAUACAUAGUGAAGAUUUAGUUAAAAUGUAAUGUUUUUGAAAAAAAAUUAAAAGAAUAUUUUUUUAAAAAAAAUAUAAUUGUUAAAAAAAUAAAAUUAAAAUGUUGAAAUUUUAAUUUAAAAAAAUUCUGGGGGCCUUCCUUUCUUCUCCCACUGAGGGUUCACCUCAUUCUCACCAUCUCUUAAAUCAUUUUAAAUAGAUACAGGCAAAUACAGUACCACAAUGUUUCUGCCAAAAUACAGGUGUUCAAGCAGAAGUGGUAUCACCUGGUGCAGUCUGCACCAGGUGACACCACUUCUGCUCGAAUGCCACUGCAUAAAAUCUAAUCAUUGGAUAAAAUCUACUCUCAUACAGCCAGGGUGAAGAUCUUUACCUCUGCACCAUACUAUUUCCCUUUGGUGUCCACUGACUAUCAUUGUCCGUCCAGCACUUUGAAAUGUAAUUUGAAUUACCUGAGAGAGAAACAAAUUAACUUUCUCUACUUGAAGACUUCCUAUGGUUGAGACACUGCAGUGUUCUCCACUCUACCCAACAAGAAGGAGAAUCUUUAAUUGAAAAAGGAACAAACACAGUUUACAAGAUAAAUGAAAAGGAAAGUACAACUAGAAUCUUAUUCUAUAAAUGUUUAAAAACAUUAAAUAAACAAUUCUGUCUGGCAUACAAAAUUUAAA